rnacentral:lncRNA from 1 species
GGCCUGAUUCCUUUACAUCAUUCAAAGGGUAUUGUGACGCACACUGGCUUGCAAGGUUUUGCCAGGCAAUGCCUUUCAGGUCCUGGGCUUAGAAAAAGAGUGCUCCUUUGGUCUCUAGGGAGAGACCAGCUGCACAUGAAAGAAGGGGCAAAAAUUACUGUGAAAAGGAAAAUCAUGUAGGCAAAUAACCAGGCUAUCUAAUCACUAGAGCUUGCUUUCCUGUAAAGAUUGUCCCAAGGACAACGUAAGGUGAAAAUCUGGGUGGUGCCACACUGAGGAGUCCUGCCCUUUGCAAGCUGGAAUUGAGGAAGGAUGGUUUGGCACGAGGGGCAGAUGAGGCCAGCCCCGCCUUGUCCAAGGUUAGGUCAGGCUCCAACCUGCUCCUUUGCAGGUAUCAAAGGAUAAUUUUAAUUAUUUAAAAAUAUGCUGCAAACCAAUCCAUGGAGUAUCACAACAGCACCACUAUAUAGAAGCAAGCCAUAACCUGAGAAGAAGAGAGUGGCAAAAAUAUUUAUUCUGACCAACCUCUGUCAAAACCAAACCAAACCAAAACGAAACACUGGCAUUUUUUUUUCUUUUUUUUUUUUUGUGAUGGAGUCUCUGUUGCCCAGGCUGGAGUACAGUGCCACAAUCUCGGCUCACUGCAAGCUCUGCCUCCCGGAUUCAAGCGAUUCCCCUGCCUCAGCCUCCUGAGUAGCUGGGACUACAGGCGCGUGCCACCACGCCCGGCUAAGUUUCUGUAUAUUAGUAGAGACGGGGUUUCACCACGGCCAGGAUGGUCUCGAUCUCCUGACCUCAUGAUCCUCCCGCCUCGGCCUCCCAAAGUGCUGGGAUUACAGGCGUGAGCCACCACACCCAGCCAACACUGGCAUUAUCUACAGUAGGUUGUCCUGGAAACAGGGACACUUCUCACUUAUAUACAGUUUGCAGGUUAGAAUGUAAAAUAUUUCCAUAAGAUUCCAGAAGGCACUCAGGAGAGACCAGGGGCCAGGCUGGGUUCCUGCUGGGAGCUUAACCUACAUGGAACAGGCAUAAAAUAAUGUAAUGACAGAGUCUUGGUGACAGCAUUUUGUUGAAAGCAGAUAAGCUAGGGAAAACUUAAAUAAAUAUAUGAGGACAGAAGCAACAAACUGGAACCACACUAAGAGAAAGGAUAAAUUGGUUUGAUUUGUUGAGUGAGCACCACACGUUUUUUUAGCUAUUAGACACACACCAUCUAGAAUCUCCACCACCACCAUGGAAGGAGAUUCUCUUUUGAAAAUGAAGUAUUUCUAUUUGAAAUGAAGGCUAAGAGAAGAAGCUACGGAACUUGCCUAACAGUCACACAACGAGGCCGUAAUGAAUCUAUGAUUUGAAUCCAGCUAUUUGACGUCAAAGGCGUUUUAAGAGUAAUAACCAGUAUUCUUCACUGAGGAAAAAAAAUGAACAAAAAAUCCCCAUGUUCUUUACGUAAGACAUACCUGGCAAUAUAACAGAAAGUACAAAGAAGAAAGUUUCACUCGCGUUCGUGUGAAGAGACAACCAAACAGGCUUUGUGUGAGCGAUAAAGCUUUUUAAUCAGCUGGGUGCAGGCCGUCUGAGUCCGAAAAGAGAGUCAGCAAAGGGGAGAUAGGGGUGAGGCCGUUUUAUAAGAUUUGGGUAGGUAAAGGAAAAUUACAGUCAAAGGGGGGUUGUUCUCUGGCGGGCAGGAGUGGGGGUGACAAGGUGCUCCGUGGGGGAGCUUUUUGAGCCAGGAUGAGCCAGGAGGAGGAAUUUCACAAGGUAAUGUCAUCGGUUAAGGCAAGGACCGGCCAUUUUCACUUCUUUUGUAGUGGAAUGUCAUCAGUUAAGGCAGGAACAGGCCAUUUAAAUUUCACUUCCUCUGUGAUUCUUCAGUUACUUCAGGCCAUCUGGAUAUAUACGUGCAGGUCACACCAGCAGGCUAUCAGUAAAGUCCUCCUUACCGGUGGGAGGUGGAGUAGGGCUAGCCCCUGGCAUUCUGUAGGGAAGCAAGUGUUAAAACUUUCACUUAAGCCGGGCGUGGUGGCUCACGCCUGUAAUCCCAGCACUUUGGGAGGUCAAGGCGGGCGGAUCACCUGAGGUCGGGAGUUCGAGACCAGCCCGGCCAACAUGGUGAAACCCCCGUCUCUACUAAAAAUACAGAAUUAGCCGGGCGUGGUGGCGCAUGCCUGUAAUCCCAGCUACUCGGAAGGCUGAGGCAGGAGAAUCGCUUGAAUCCGGGAGGCAGAGCUUGCAGUGAGCCGAGAUCGAGCCAUUGCACUCCAGCCUGGGCAACAAGAGCAAAACUCCGUUUCAAAAAAAAAAAAAAAAAAGUUUCACUUACAGCACAAAAGGACAGAGUAGGAGGAGGAGGAAGCAACUGGCAGGUGCAGUUUCUCAGGCAUUUGAGAGGUUGGAGAAGUCAUUAUGAGAGUAAUGAAACUGGCUGGUUCCUGAUGAGUACAAUCUAUGCUUUGCAGUAAGACGGUAAACAUCAUCAUUAAUUUAGGCAAAGUGUGAAAGCAGGGCUCCCCCUUUGCAGCAUACAGAGGGGCUCUCAUUUCCUGCAGCAGGGGGGCAGGAAAAGAUGAGAAUUAGACUAAGGAUUUAAAUAUAAGGGUAGUGGGGCCCCCGAGAAGAACCUGGCAAAUCUGCUCUGCCAACAUCAUGGCUGAGUUUGGAAAGGAUUGGUGACCUCAGAUUUGGUUGAGGACAAAGAGGUCAAUGCACUUGACGGCUUGCAAACUCAGAUUCCUCUCUGUCCGGGGUUAUUAUUCCUCCCUGGCUUGACGGCUUGAAGAUAAUGCAGGGGUCGUCUCACCACCGCUUCAGGAUUUACCAUUUCCUCUGCUGGCCGCCAGACGAUAAUUAGAUGGAGCAGCAACAUGACCCGCAGGGGAAGUGCCUGACCCACUAAGAGAGGAAAGAAAUGAUGAGUCAAAGAAAAAUAAUCUGAAUUUCAGUCAGAAGGAAAGAUUAGACAAAUUCAAACAUUCUACAGCAUAACUGGCCUGGACUCUUUAAAAAUGAUAAAGUCAAAAAAGAUACCAGAAGGCUGAGAAACUCUUCUAGAUUAAAAGAGAACAAGAGAUAUGACAAAGAAAAGCAAUCCGUCCUCUUGGGCUGGGUCCUGGCCCAGACUGGGAAGUCCCCUGCCGCAGAGCCCGAUGCACUUUCUGGAGGCCCUCUUGAGGACCAAGGUCCUAUUCCCCAGCUGAAAGCUUUGCCUGCUCCUAGAUCAUAGUUCACUUAUGUGCCAAGAAUUGGCAUUACCCAAGAUUACACACCCUUCCUGGGGUAGCCCAUGUCCAAAGAUUGAUUAACACGGGGAUACAAAAGUCCAGCCUUCUUGCUUGAAUUUGGGACAUCUCUGGAGUUCCAUUCUAGUUUCAGAGCUUUCCGUGGCAUUGGCUGACGCAUCUGAAGUAAGUGACUCAUAGUUCAGCUUCUCCCUUUGCCAAAUCCUGUUUUCUUCACUCCCUUCCACGUGUUGCUACACAAGCACGCCCCGAUAGACCACUUCCCAACAGACUGCUUCAUGAAAAUUUCCAUCUCAGAGUGUGGAGCCCAGGAAACCCUGUCUAAGAGACCAACUCAAGGCCAAAGGACCUCCCCCUUCAAAAGAACUGCAACCCUGCCGUUUUCCAUCUGUCUCCGGUCAAAUGUUGCGAUGUUUACACUGGAGCAGCACCACAUAGGAUGGCAGGCAAGUACAGUGAUGUCUCUGGGCCUCCUAGGAGGCUGUGGAAGUUAGGUGCAGUUUUUCUUAUGAUGACCAUUUGGACUCUGGCGCCUUGAUACGGUGUCAUCAAUAAGUAGCAAGAUCCUGGAGAGAAACACCUGAAAUGGAAGCCGGAACGUAGACCACAGUCAAAAUUAAGUUUAUGGAAAAUAAAGAAAUGUAAAAAAAAGUUAUUUAUGUAAGUUUUGGAACAAGAUUGAUACUUGCUACGUAACUUCCAUUUGUGGAGCCCUUAUUGCAAGCCUGACAUGUUGCUGAAG